rnacentral:piRNA from 1 species
UCUUGGUGUUAACUUAAAAAUGUCGAGUUC